rnacentral:ncRNA from 1 species
CCCCAAAAACACAAAGUUUUGGUCCUAAACUUGCCAUUGUUUUUAAUCAAAAUUACACAUGCAAGCCUCCGCACACCAGUGAGAAUGCCCACCUUUUUCCACAUUUUUUUAGACGAAAGGAGCAGGCAUCAGGCUCGCCGAGACAGCCCACAACGCCUUGCUACGCCACACCCACACGGGUACUCAGCAGUGAAUAACAUUAAUACAUUAACGAAAGUUAGACUUAGUUAUGAUUUAUCUGGUCGGUUAAUUUCGUGCCAGCCACCGCGGUUAUACGAAAGACCAGAAACAAUGACACACGGCGUAAAGCGUGACUAGAGCCCCACUAUAUAAUUUAAAGGAGAACCGUCCCAAAGUUGUAAAACACUACUGCCAACGAGAACCACACCAACAAAAUGCCUUUAAACAAGAUAAUGCUUAACCUCACGAAAGCUAAGGAACAAACUAGGAUUAGAUACCCUACUAUGCUUAGCCAUAAACACAGACAACACAAACAUAAUGAUGUCCGCCAGAGAACUACAAGCGAAAAACUAGAAACUCAAAGGACUUGGCGGUGCUCCACACCACCCUAGAGGAGCCUGUCCUAUAAUCGAUACCCCACGUUCUACCUUACCAUCUUUUGUAAUUCAGUCUAUAUACCGCCGUCGCCAGCCUACCUUAUGAAAGAAAUUAAAGUAGGCAAAACAGUUAACAACUAACACGUCAGGUCAAGGUGUAACACAUAUGAUGGAAGAGAUGGGCUACAUUUUCUACCAUAGAAAACACGAAUGGCAAAAUGAAACACACACCUGAAGGUGGAUUUAGCAGUAAGAUAAACAAGAAAUUUUACCUUAAACCCGCUCUGGAGCGCGCACACACCGCCCGUCACCCUCAUCG